AACGCUGGCGGCAGGCUUAACACAUGCAAGUCGAGCGGAUGAAGGUAGCUUGCUACUGGAUUCAGCGGCGGACGGGUGAGUAAUGCUUAGGAAUCUGCCUAUUAGUGGGGGACAACGUUCCGAAAGGAGCGCUAAUACCGCAUACGUCCUACGGGAGAAAGCAGGGGACCUUCGGGCCUUGCGCUAAUAGAUGAGCCUAAGUCGGAUUAGCUAGUUGGUAGGGUAAAGGCCUACCAAGGCGACGAUCUGUAGCGGGUCUGAGAGGAUGAUCCGCCACACUGGGACUGAGACACGGCCCAGACUCCUACGGGAGGCAGCAGUGGGGAAUAUUGGACAAUGGGGGGAACCCUGAUCCAGCCAUGCCGCGUGUGUGAAGAAGGCCUUUUGGUUGUAAAGCACUUUAAGCGAGGAGGAGGCUACCUAGAUUAAUACUUUAGGAUAGUGGACGUUACUCGCAGAAUAAGCACCGGCUAACUCUGUGCCAGCAGCCGCGGUAAUACAGAGGGUGCGAGCGUUAAUCGGAUUUACUGGGCGUAAAGCGUGCGUAGGCGGCCAAUUAAGUCAAAUGUGAAAUCCCCGAGCUUAACUUGGGAAUUGCAUUCGAUACUGGUUGGCUAGAGUAUGGGAGAGGAUGGUAGAAUUCCAGGU
rnacentral:rRNA from 1 species